GAGGGUAUAGCUCAGUGGUAGAGUAUAUGCCUAGCAUGCACAAGGUCCUGGGUUCAAUUCCCCGUACCUCUG
rnacentral:tRNA from 1 species